rnacentral:lncRNA from 1 species
GCGCACAGCGAGGAGCGACGCGGGCGUGUGGGUCGCGCGGCCUGGGCUGCCGGGGGUGGGUUGGGGGUGAGGCGGUGGGGAUCCCCCCGCAAGGCCAGGCCCUGGGCCUCCCCGGGCCUCAGUGGGACUUGCCGCGCCAGGGACCCCGGGGGGUGGCCUUGCCAAGGACAGCCCGGGUCCGCGGGGCUCCCGGGUCCCUAAAUGAAACCACCAACCUGCCCUCCCGCGAUUAUAUAAAGGAGUCGCCUCCACCCCGCUGCGCUAGGGGCGUCAGCGGGGGAAGGGGUUGGCGAGGGGCGGGGAGGGCGGUUGUUUUCCCGGCUUCGCGAGUUCCCCCACCCGGCUGCGGGCCGCGGGGCGGGACGGGGACCGGGCCCUGGACGCCUGGUCCGCGCGGGCCGCUCCUUGGCACAAGGGGGUCUGCAUGGCUCGCGAGGGGCGGAGGUGGGGAGUGGGGAGGCGUUGGUUCAGCGCGACUUUUUUUUUUCCCCUGUCCGUUUCUCCCACUUCCUCCCCGGUCGUGGGAGAGGUCCGGCGGGGGACAGGGAAGGGGGAGCAGGGCACGAGUGGUGAGAACGUCCUGGCCCGGCCCGGGGAGGGCUGGCUGGUGCGACCGCGCGCCUGGGGGGGGGGGGGAGGGCUCCAGGACUCAGUUUCCCCUUCCUCAUUCCUCCAGACAGAGAGAGUACUGACAGCUGCUUUAGCUGCCGUUUAGUGAGCGCUUAUCCAGUGGGUGACCCUGUUCCGGGGCUCACUGUGCCUUCAUUCUAACACCUAAUCCCAGGGUCAUUAUUAUGUUUUAUUAUUAUCUGGCAUUCUUAGUACCAACACCACCUGACAGCGGGAACCACCACCGGCCUGGGUGUAGUGUACCCAGCCUGUCCUCUGACUUCAAAGCCUCUCCUGCGAGAGACACAGUUUAUGGCUUCUUCGCACAAUUUAUUAAAAGCGCCUUUCAACACCCAAACGGGUUGGAUUGGCUUUUGUAAUAAUAAUCUGGCUACGAGGGGAAACCCGGGAGGGCCCCCCGGAGGGGAAGUGGACUGUCUCAGGACUCGCAGCCUGAAACCAGCCGGCCUCAGAUCCGAUCCUGCAGGAAAAGGAUCGAGAAAGCCCCACUCGGAUUCUCCAUGGUGAGAACCUGACUCAGAGGGGCAGGGGCUCCUCUGUGAGACGGGCAUGGACCCUAAUCCUCAUCGCAGCCCUGAGAAGAAGCAGAGACUACAAUUUCCACCAUACAGUUGGGGAAACUGAGGCCCAGAGAUGGACAAGGAGCAAGGAUGUUAAGUCCAGCAUUCGCGUGUCUCUGGACGCUGCCAGGGGGACCAAAGGGAGGUCCUUCAGGAAGUGCCAGGAUGUGGCACACCCCAAACCACGCCCCCCGCCCCUGUCAUGAAAACAGAACGAAGGGGACCCAAAGCUUCCUCCUGACCUCUGCCCUUCACUUCCUUUUUCCUCCCCCAACCAAAAAAAAAAAAAAAAAAAAAAAACCCGAGUUGAUACUAUUGAAAACCUAAUAAAGUAUAAAAGAUUGGGUUGCUGUGUGAUCUUGGGCAGGUUGCUUAACCUCUCUGAUCCUCAGACUCCUUUGGAGAGAAGAAUCGAUGCAACUUCCUAGUGUUGUGACAAGGGAGAAAUGAGACGGUGCAUGGAACGCUGAGACAGCACAACCCCUGCACCAGGGAGGUCUUCAUUACAUGAUAGGUGUGAUUAUAUUAUUAAUGUUUGAGUCACGCCUAUUAUUUUUGUCUCUGUGUAGCCAGGGGUUUUCUGUUUGUCUGUUUGUUUGUUUGUUUAUUUGUUUGUGAGACAGAGGUUCACUCUUAUUGCCCAGGCUGGAGUGUAAUGGCACGAUCUCGGCUCACCACAACCUCUGCCUCUCAGGUUCAAGCGAUUUUCCUGCCUCAACCUCCCAAGUAGCUGGGAUUACAGGCAUACGCCACCACAUCCGGCUAAUUUUUUUUUUUUUUUUUUUUGAGACAAGUCUCACACUAUUGCCCAGGCUGGAGUGCAAUGGCACGAUCUCGGCUCACUGCAACCUCCGCCUCCCUGGUUCAAGCGAUUCUCCUGCCUCAGCCUCCUGAGUAGCUGGGAUUACAGCCGCGCACCACCAUGCCCAGCUAAUUUUGCGUUUUUAUAGAGAUGGGGUUUCACUAUGUGGGCAAGGCUAGUCUCAAACUCCUGACCUCAUGAUCCGCCCGCCUCGGCCUCCCAAAGUGCUGGGAUUACAGGCAUAAGCCACCGUGCCCGGCCUCUAAUUUUGUAUUUUUAGUAGAGACGGGGUUUCUCCAUGUUAUUCAGGCUGGUCUUGAACUCCCGACCUCAGAUGAUCCGCCCACCUCGGCCUCCCAAAGUGCUGGGAUUACAGGCGUGAGCCACCGGGCCCGGCCGUAGCCAGGGUUAUUAUCCUUGGUGGAUAGAUGUAGACAGGGGACCAGGGAGGAGGAGUAACUUAGCAAAGACACAAAGGGAGUGGCUGGGGGGACUUGAGUUUCAGUUACGUUGACUAGACUGUGCUGUGAAGUCAUGUAAU